UGAUGAAUCUUGGGGGGGGAUUAUGAAACAUUCCAUAAUCUGUCCAGACUUCCACUAAACGUAAGCAGAUUGUGUCCACAGUUGGUGCUCUAGUACUGACAGAGAGAGCAGUGCAUCCUGGGUAGCUAGCCCACUGUGCAAAUUGCCACUGUCUCCUGCUAGGAGUUCUGGGAACAGAUCGCAAUGCAUCAUGGGGAUGGGAUCACCACUGGAUGAUGCAGUUUUCUCCAUCCCAUAAUUCCAAGGGCUUUGGACUGCAUUGUGCACGGUUUUCCACUGCCCCUGUAAACUUUAUGCCUGCCAUCUGUGCUUGAAAGCAUGGAUCCUGCCAUGCUCCCCACUCUUGUGAUAAGCAUUAUGAACACAACACAGCUGAUCCUGCAGUAUUUGGUGACCUGCAAAUCUGAACAAGAAUAUGUGGUGCCUAUUCUGCUGUAUGGAAAGAAACAAUUCAAGAUUGAUGAUGGCAUUCACGGAGCAGCUGCACAUGGUGGACUGUCUCUAUUGGGCUCAGGAAACAAGCAUCGAGUGCUGGGAUCAGAUUGUGAUACAGGCACAGCCGAGCUGGACUGUUGGGAUUGGCUAGACCCCACCAGAGUCAAAAAAGAGGUCGUCGCUCACCAUGCCAC